UACGUAGGGGGCUAGCGUUGUCCGGAAUCAUUGGGCGUAAAGCGCGUGUAGGCGGUUCGGUAAGUCCGCUGUGAAAGUCGGGGGCUCAACCCUCGAAUGCCGGUGGAUACUGUCGGGCUAGAGUGCGGAAGAGGCGAGUGGAAUUCCUGGUGUAGCGGUGAAAUGCGUAGAUAUCUGGAGGAACACCGGUGGCGAAGGCGGCAUCCUGGACCAAUUCUGACGCUGAGGAGCGAAAGCCAGGGGAGCAAACGGG
rnacentral:rRNA from 1 species